rnacentral:rRNA from 1 species
GUCUGUCAAGUCGGAUGUGAAAUCCCCGGGCUUAACCUGGGAACUGCAUUCGAAACUGGCAGGCUAGAGUCUUGUAGAGGGGGGUAGAAUUCCAGGUGUAGCGGUGAAAUGCGUAGAGAUCUGGAGGAAUACCGGUGGCGAAGGCGGCCCCCUGGACAAAGACUGACGCUCAGGUGCGAAAGCGUGGGGAGCAAACAGGAUUAGAUACCCUGGUAGUCCACGCCGUAAACGAUGUCGAUUUGGAGGUUGUGCCCUUGAGGCGUGGCUUCCGGAGCUAACGCGUUAAAUCGACCGCCUGGGGAGUACGGCCGCAAGGUUAAAACUCAAAUGAAUUGACGGGGGCCCGCACAAGCGGUGGAGCAUGUGGUUUAAUUCGAUGCAACGCGAAGAACCUUACCUGGUCUUGACAUCCACAGAACUUUCCAGAGAUGGAUUGGUGCCUUCGGGAACUGUGAGACAGGUGCUGCAUGGCUGUCGUCAGCUCGUGUUGUGAAAUGUUGGGUUAAGUCCCGCAACGAGCGCAACCCUUAUCCUUUGUUGCCAGCGGUCCGGCCGGGAACUCAAAGGAGACUGCCAGUGAUAAACUGGAGGAAGGUGGGGAUGACGUCAAGUCAUCAUGGCCCUUACGACCAGGGCUACACACGUGCUACAAUGGCAUAUACAAAGAGAAGCGACCUCGCGAGAGCAAGCGGACCUCAUAAAGUAUGUCGUAGUCCGGAUUGGAGUCUGCAACUCGACUCCAUGAAGUCGGAAUCGCUAGUAAUCGUAGAUCAGAAUGCUACGGUGAAUACGUUCCCGGGCCUUGUACACACCGCCCGUCACACCAUGGGAGUGGGUUGCAAAAGAAGUAGGUAGCUUAACCUUCGGGAGGGCGCUUACCACUUUGUGAUUCAUGACUGGGGUGAAGUCGUAACAAGGUAACCGUAGGGGAACCUGCGGUUG